UACAGAGGGUGCGAGCGUUGUCCGGAAUCACUGGGCGUAAAGGGCGCGUAGGCGGCUUGGUAAGCGUGCGGUGAAAGCUCGGGGCUCAACCCCGAGUCUGCCGUGCGAACUGCCGGGCUUGAGCACAGUAGAGGCAGAUGGAAUUCCGGGUGUAGCGGUGGAAUGCGUAGAGAUCCGGAAGAACACCGGUGGCGAAGGCGGUCGGCUGGGCUGUGUCUGACGCUGAUGCGCGACAGCGGGGGGAGCAAACAGG
rnacentral:rRNA from 1 species